rnacentral:rRNA from 1 species
CCCUUAGAUGUUCUGGGCCGCACGCGUGCUACACUGAGUGGAUCAGCGGGUCAGGUUGCGCGAAAGCGUUUCCUAAUCUUGAAAUCCGCUCGUGAUGGGGAUUGACGGUUGCAAUUUUCUGUCAUGAACGAGGAAUACCUUGUAAGCGCGGGUCAUCAUCCCGCGCUGAAUACGUCCCUGCCCUUUGUACACACCGCCCGUCGCUCCUACCGAUUGAGUGGUCCGGUGAGGCUUUGGGAUCUGAGCGGAAAGAGCGUUUCGCUGUUUCUGCUCGGAAAACUCAGUCGAACCUUAUCAUUUAGAGGAAGGAGAAGUCGUAACA